rnacentral:snRNA from 1 species
GUGCUUCAGCAGCACAUAUACUAAAAUUGGAAUGGUGCAGAGAGAUUAGCAUGAUCUCUGUGCAAGGAUGACAUGCAAAUUCUUGAAGUGUUGUGUAUUUUU